rnacentral:rRNA from 1 species
GACGAACGCUGGCGGCAUGCUUAACACAUGCAAGUCGAACGGAAAGGCCCUGCUUUUGUGGGGUGCUAGAGUGGCGAACGGGUGAGUAACACGUGAGUAACCUGCCCUUGACUUUGGGAUAACUUCAGGGAACUGGGGCUAAUACCGGAUAGGAGCUCCUGCAGCAUGGUGGGGGUUGGAAAGUUUCGGCGGUUGGGGAUGGACUCGCGGCUUAUCAGCUUGUUGGUGGGGUAGUGGCUUACCAAGGCUUUGACGGGUAGCCGGCCUGAGAGGGUGACCGGCCACAUUGGGACUGAGAUACGGCCCAGACUCCUACGGGAGGCAGCAGUGGGGAAUAUUGCACAAUGGGCGGAAGCCUGAUGCAGCAACGCCGCGUGCGGGAUGACGGCCUUCGGGUUGGAAACCGCUUUCGCCUGUGACGAAGCGUGAGUGACGGUAAUGGGUAAAGAAGCACCGGCUAACUACGUG